rnacentral:rRNA from 1 species
GUCUAUGGCCAUACCACACUGAAUACACCCAGUCUCAUCUGAUCUCAGAAGCUAAGCAGGGUUUGCGCUGGUUAGUAUUCAGAUGGGAGAGUGUAUCAAAGACA